GUAUUUAUUUUAAAAUGCUUUUGCAACCUGACACUGUUCAGCUUUUUUAUCUUUUACCAGUAUUUGGGGACUUAUUGGGGAUUCCUUUGAUAAUUUCAGGAAGAAAGAAGUGGAAUGGAAGGAGCCAGUAACUGUCCCAGGUCAGAAAACGCCUCUGAAAAGGAUCUACAUUACACCCAAAGUUCAUUGGAUAACUGCACCCUCAACAAUCAGGAGACAAUAAGUGGUGUAGACAGAGCUAAUAUCGUCCCCAAAUCAGAUGGUACCACUGAAGACAUUCAGCAUUCCACAGACUGUUCACAGGUUGAGACUUUCCACAUUCAGGAGACAAUAAAGGGUAUGAACCAAGCCAGUAACUGCCCCAAAUCAGAUGGUGCCUCUGAAGACAAUCAGCAUUGCACAGACAGUCCACAGCAUGACAGUAUCUUCCACAUUCAGGAGACAAUAAAGGGUAUGAACCAAGCCAGUAACUGCCCCAAAUCAGAUGGUGCCUCUGAAGACAAUCAGCAUUGCACAGACAGUCCACAGCAUGACAGUAUCUUCCACAUUCAGGAGACAAUAAAGGGUAUGAACCAAGCCAGUAACUGCCCCAAAUCAGAUGGUGCCUCUGAAGACAAUCAGCAUUGCACAGACAGUCCACAGCAUGACAGUAUCUUCCACAUUCAGGAGACAAUAAAGGGUACGAACCAAGCCAGUAACUGCCCCAAAUCAGAUGGUGCCUCUGAAGACAAUCAGCAUUGCACAGACAGUUCACAGCAUGACAGUAUCUUCCACAUUCAGGAGACAAUAAAGGGUAUGAACCAAGCCAGUAACUGCCCCAAAUCAGAUGGUGCCUCUGAAGACAAUCAGCAUUGCACAGACCGUCCACAGCAUGACAGUAUCUUCCACAUUCAGUGGCUCUUGAUGUAGAACCACCCAUAGAUCCUUCUGCAAAAGAAGUCCAGAAAUCUUCAAUUGAACAAACAACAGAAAUAACAAGUACCACAACUACCAUGAAAGGUACUGUUUGUUAAACUUCAUAGAAAGCCUUUAUGAACUUAAAAAUCUCUGUUUUUUCUGAUGUGCUUUGUUCAUUCAGGUCGAAAGGUGGUAAAGAAAAAGAAAUGGGACAGUGAUGAAAUGAAUGCAGUUGAAAAGCAUCUAAACAGGUUCAUCAAAACUUGUACAGUGCCAGGAAAACAACAAUGUGAGGCCUGUAUAAAUGCUGAACCUGUUGCCUUGAAAGACAGGGAUUGGUUGUCUGUAAAGUUCUUUGUGAAGAACAAAAUCACUACCCUUAAAAGAAGAAUGUAAAGUCAGUUAUUUUAUUUUGUUUGGUAUCUUAUUUUCUGGUAUUUUAGAUUUCUGGUUAUUACAUUUGUUUUAAAAGGAUCUUAGAAUCUCUUUUUUUUUUUUUGGAAAUGGGUGCAAUUCAGUAAAGUGUCUUUGAAUCAAAUGUAAAUAUGUACAGAAUACUGUUCAGAAUGCUACAUAAAAAUAGCAAAAAAAAUAAAUAUUUUAUUCAUGUUAUUAAAUUUUGAUCU
ensembl:lncRNA